rnacentral:rRNA from 1 species
GAUGAACGCUAGCUACAGGCUUAACACAUGCAAGUCGUGGGGCAUCAUGAUGUAGUAAUACAUUGAUGGCGACCGGCGCACGGGUGAGUAACGCGUAUCCAACCUACCCUCCACUCAAGUAUAGGCUUCCGAAAGGGAGAUUAAUCCUUGAUAUCGUCAUUCUCUCUCCUGUUAGAAUGAUAAAAGGACAUCGUUUCGGUAGAGGAUGGGGAUGCGUUCCAUUAGGUAGUAGGUGGUUUAACAGGCCACCUAGCCGAUGAUGGAUAGGGGUUCUGAGAGGAAUAUCCCCCACACUGGUACUGAGAUACGGACCAGACUCCUACGGGAGGCAGCAGCGAGGAAUAUUGGUCAAUGGGCGCAAGCCUGAACCAGCCAUGUAGCGUGAAGGAUGACGGUUUUUUUGAUUGUAAACUUCUUUUCUGUGCGAUUAAAGUGUGGCAUUUAUGCC